rnacentral:lncRNA from 1 species
CAGGGCUGUUUACACAGGGAGCUGGCAGGGAUGGCCAGCCUCCUGGCUGCCUCUGUCCACUCUCCGUUCUCUAGCUCAUUAACAUUCUUGACAUUUGACUUGAAGGUAGUAUUUCAGAAGACUCGGAUGCAGCUUUUGUAAACAAACAUAAUAUUCCUGGUCCUGGAGCCAAUGUUUUCCAGAUACUAGGAGAUUAUGGGAAAGUCAGUGAAAUCUGACUGGGUGCUUGCACGUCAAUCAAACACCGGUUAUCUCAGUAGCACGAAGCCACUGCACUGAUCUUCUAGGAGCUGGUACUCAAAGCUGCUGCAGAAAUGGCAAUUCUGGACAGAGUGAUACAGGGGUCCUGGUCAGUUUUGUGCCAACUUGACUCAAGCUGGUGUUGUUUGGGAAGAGGAACCUCAACUGAAAAAAUGUCGCCAUCAGAUUGCCUGUAGCUUAAUGUCAAGACAAACACAUGGAAAAUGUGCAAAGAAUUUUCUGAAGAAUAUAUACAAAUAGUCAACAAACACAUGAAAAGACACCCAACAUCACUACUCAUCAAGGAAACACAAAAGAAAGUCACUCUGAACCCAGCCAGAAUGUCUACAAUCAAAAAGACUAAAGGCAACAACUAUUGGCAAGGUUGGAGAGGAAUUGGAACCCUCUUACAUUGCUGGAGAGCAUGUAAAAUGGUGUGUCUGCUUUGGAAAACAUUUUGGCACAUCUUCACAAUGUUAAACACAGAGUUAUUAUAUGACCCAGCAAUUCUGUUCCUAGGUAUAUGUAUCCAAGAGAAUUAAAAACAUAUGUCUACA